AACGAACGCUGGCGGCAUGCCUAACACAUGCAAGUCGAACGAGACCUUCGGGUGUAGUGGCGCACGGGUGCGUAACGCGUGGGAACCUGCCCUUAGGUUCGGAAUAACUCCCCGAAAGGGGUGCUAAUACCGGAUAAUGUCUUCGGACCAAAGAUUUAUCGCCUUUGGAUGGGCCCGCGUUGGAUUAGCUAGUUGGUAGGGUAAAAGCCUACCAAGGCGACGAUCCAUAGCUGGUUUGAGAGGAUGAUCAGCCACACUGGGACUGAGACACGGCCCAGACUCCUACGGGAGGCAGCAGUGGGGAAUAUUGGACAAUGGGCGAAAGCCUGAUCCAGCAAUGCCGCGUGAGUGAUGAAGGCCUUAGGGUUGUAAAGCUCUUUUACCCGGGAUGAUAAUGACAGUACCGGGAGAAUAAGCUCCGGCUAACUCCGUG
rnacentral:rRNA from 1 species